GGCAAAGGUACCAGGUUGUCUGCC
rnacentral:siRNA from 1 species